rnacentral:rRNA from 1 species
CACGCCGUAAACGAUGAGUACUAAGUGUCGGGAUAACCCGGUGCUGCAGUUAACGCAUUAAGUACUCCGCCUGAGUAGUACGUGCGCAAGCAUAAAACUCAAAGGAAUUGGCGGGACCUCGCACAAGCGGUGGAUCAUGUUGUUUAAUUCGACGAGACGCGAAGAACCUUACCAGGCCUUGACAUACCGAGCAAUGCUAUGGAGACAUAGUGGAGGGUAGCUGGGAUACAGGUGG